ensembl:lncRNA
UGUCAGAGCCUUGGAACUGUAAGUGGCUUCCGACUCCCAGCAGGAGACCACGUCGGUGUUCCUGCCCCUCAGCUGCCCAGACGUGCGGCGGGAGGCUGGGGCGCUCCGCAGGCCCCUGGUCACCACCUCCAGCCUCUCUGUGCUGACCAGGUCCUUGGGGAAGAUGUAACCUCUGGCCCCUGAGCUUUCUGGGAUCCUGCCAGAAUUGUCAGCGUGCCCCUUAGGAUCCAGGGAAGAGCGUCCCUGUCAGCGGAGUUAUUAACGUGUCGUGCACAGAAGCCUCCCCGGGAACGACGCGGGAUGAGCCUGCGUGGGGCUGGGCGCCGCCGUCGAGGGGCUUGGUGCUGGUCCGGGCGCACGCUCCUGCCUGGUCCCGCCGGCAUCCUCACGGUUUCCCGACACCCAGUGGCUCUCUGCCCUGAGUGGGCUCGUCCUUCAAAGCAGCUUUCACAGAAUUGGCCGCUGUCGUGGAGACAGUGUCGAGGAGACAGUGGUUACAAGCUGUGUUCCCUGGAAGGAAGGAACCACCCCAGACACAGCCAGGCGUCCCGUGCGCCCGCGGCCCGUCGGGCUGACACACAGCCCUUCCUGCAGUGACUCUGUGUCCGCCUGCAGAAUGCCCAGCUUUGCCGUGGACACACCUCAGCUUCUAGGACGUGGGACACAGGAUUCAAAGCACGGCCCCCGGACCCCGGACACACCCUCGCUGACCAGGAGGCCUCCAUCUACGGAGAGCGGAAGGCGGGGUGGCCCCGAGCCACGGCCCCGCCCUGCAGGCCCCCCAGGAGGCUGCAGAGGGCCAGGCUGGAGUCAGGGAGCGCCCCAGGGCCCGGAAGGAUGAGGGCCCGGGGCGCUCUUCAACUUCCCGGGUGAGCUAAGGGAAGGCGGCCUUCAUCCUCACGUCUUCCCCCUCCCCGCGCUUGGCGAAAUACGCAGGCCCCUGGAUCCAGUCCUGCAGGCGGCCCAGUGCGGAGCUGGCCAGAGGGCAGAUCGUGCCUGGUCUCAGGCGUCCGCCGUCCACUCAAAGUUACGACAACAGUUCACCAGGAGGGCGGGGCUGACGUCCGUCCCUCUGGAGGCAGCAGCACUGGGCACUCGGGUCAGCCCUGGGCGUGAUCCCUGACCCGCCUUCGACCCCCCCACUUUCCCUGGAAUAAGAGGAAAUAACCCCAGUGGACAGCUUGUCCUCAGA